CGUUUCACACGUCGCACAUGUUUUGCCCGAUCACACCGGUGUUAAUGAAAAAUAACAAAUCGGUCGCGGAGAGGAACCGGUUUAUGUCGUUGCGUCACCGAACAUCGAGUAUUUGUGUCUUUCGAUGCAACAGCGAUUUUCAUUCCAGACAAUCGCAACGGUAAUUAUUGCACAUACCGAUGUACUCGCACUCGCAUCGACUCCAAGGUCUGUCCCACCCCGCCGCCGUUUCGUCACAGACAUUUUUCACGGUCAAAUGGUGGGGAGCUUGUUAAACGUCAAUUUAACGGAUCACAUGAGCCGUUUCAGAGUUACCAAUCGCUUUCCAAUUAAAUCAGCUCCUUUAGGUCAUUAUUUGAAACUGAGAAACGGUUGGUAGCUGAGCGUAAGGAGGAUUCGAGAAAACGGGACUUUAAAUUUAUGCGCAGAUAGAUACACACGUGUAGGGAAUAUAUGAAACGUUAAUCUUGUCAUAGUUAACUCAUACCGUUCUUUUUUUUUUUUUUUUUUUUUUUUACUACUAAAAGACAGAAAGAAACGAUGCAUGACAUUCUGAAUUUUAGUAAUUGGUAUUCUAUCAAAUCUUAUUGGAUCUCUUGAUUAAUAAAUUUCGAUUUAGCCUUGUUCUAGAUAUAUUGAUACAGAUAUACUGAUCUAAUGGAUACGCGCUUUUAGCCUGAUUAAUAAAUUUGAACCGUACAAAUGUCUUAUUUAAUAGAACCGGUAUAAAUGGAAUGAAAUGAAAAGCGAGUUUUGGUUGUGAUAAGUAGUUGGUCGUGUUUUACAAUACAUCUAUCAGAAACACGGCUUUAGCUAUAAUACCAUUCUCGAAUUGCACUGGAACUUCCGACUAAUAAAUAUGAAGCAUAUAAAUGUAUUAUUCGAAAGGAGUGGUAUAAAUAGAAUGGAAUAAAAGUCGAGAUAAGUGUGGCUGUGAUAGAUACGAGUUUAUGUAGGGUUUACCAAUAUGGUAUAGAACAGUUUAACUGGUAGCAGCCACAGUAACAGUAUCCCGAGCUCUCUGGCAUUGGAAUGCAGUAAGAAUACCAACGUGUGCCAAUGAACCAUGAAAGGUCCUUUCAUUUCGUUGUCCUAUUGUGAUUGCAUAAUUGCGAUAAUUGCAUCCGACAGGAUCUUGUUUCACCGAGCAAUGACAUAGAAUCGUUAUUUUCCAUCUCUCUAAUGGAAUAAAUAUUUUAAGGUGUCUAACUCUUUGAUAAUGUAAUAAAAUAACGAAGAAUUCAGAACAGAUAAUUUGGAAAAUAAUUAUUUACUCACUGUCAACAUCUUUUGCAUUUUUGAUAUAAAAGAUAAGAUAUACAUACCUUUGAGAAAAUAGAUAUUAAUAACUGUAAGAUGAAAGGGUUAAGAGAAGAUGAGAAACAUUAAUUGGGCAAUUGGAUAAAUACAUAUGUACUUGUAUUCUGAUAAAGUCAUGUGAUGUACUCUGAAUAGCAUAUAUUUGUAUCCUAAUAUCAUCCCUUUAUUUUAAGCUAGAAAAUAUAGUAUUUAACAAAUCUCAGAUUGACAUUGAAUCAGUCCAAUGAUUAAAGAGUUCCGUGAUUCGUCUCUCUUGCUCUUAGUUACUCAAAAUAGAACCUUCUGAUUAACUAUAUUGUCAACUUCCUCUGAUCUCUGUUCUUGGAAAAUUAUUUCGUUUGCGACCUUCUGAAGAACAGUAGUGAUUUUCUGAAUUGUUAUACUGCUGUUUCAUAUGAGACAAGAAAAUGCAAACAAAUGAUAAAAUCAGAAUCGAAAUCUGAUAAUCAGGAUGAUGUACCUCUUAAUAACUGUGGACAAUUAUUACAUUCAAAACUUUAAAAAUUCAAAAGUGCAAAAGUAUUGAAAGAACCUAAGAAUCGAAGAAUCGAAUUUUUAUAUUUUGUAACGCAAAAUCGAUGAAAGCAACGUGAUUCAAACAAUAAGAUGUCAUCGUUAUUGCAGAUUGCAUUCUCGUCUCGAAGAGAAUGCAUCAGUCAAGGACACCUCGCUCCAAAGAGGUAUUAAUCUCAACAAUCCCUUCCGCUUUAACGAGCAAUAAAGUUUGAAAUAAUGCAAUACCUUCAUCUAGCUGAUAAGAAUCCGGACUGAUAACAGCCAUAAGAAAAAGGUUCCUCAGCUCUUUACGUCAGCCUUAGUAAUCUAAAUUUUCGCCUUAAAUUCAUUCGAAAUUUAUUCAACAUGGUCGAUUCUUCCUGGCUUGAAUUCAUUAAACUGUAAGAUUAAUAGCUUUGAUUAUGUCCAGUAUUCUUAAUUAUCAAUCUGUUACGCAAAGAGCUUAAUUGCAACCUCAGAAAAAUAUUCUACAAGGGAAAAGCACUGUAUCAAAAAAGUAUAAUUAGGUUAAUAGAACAUAAUUAAAUAAUUUGCCUAAUUACGAUAUUAUGAUAGAGUAUAACGUAACUAAAAUUCUAGGAAAAUGCUGCCUGAAUAUCCCAGUAAAUUUUUUUCACGUAGUUUAACCACUUUCAGGUUUUAUCUAAAUUUUACGAGACUACUGUAAUCAUCCUAUUACAUUCCCCCUUUUUGAACAAAUAGUAAAUGUACCGUGUUUUCUUGUUUCGUGUAACCGAGUCACCCCUUGCACGCUAAUUAAACCCCUUCCGCCAACUUUACCGUACGUACCUAUGAACGUGUUAUAUAUCUUUUUGCAACGUGGCGCGGCGAGGAAUUUACAUUUCUCACAGUAGGGUUCGGUGCAUUUUCUUCGGUUCAUCUUAUGUUCUGUUAUAACCUUGUUUCAAUUUAAGAUAAUAGAGAUUUUGUUUUUUUCGUCAAAAUUAAAUUUGAAUUCAAAUUCAAAGAUUUAAAAAUUCGGUAAUUCAAAUAUUUCAAUAUUCAAAAAUUUGAAUUUGCGAUCAAGUAUGAUAUCAACAGUAUUGGAUAUACAAAGAUUCGUUUCUUACGAAAUUGAUUUAUUCCCUAUUUUCGAAAAUCUUGUAUCUAUAGCGUCUUAUUCUUGUUACCUUAUUAUUAUACAGGGUGGUUGGUAACUGGUGGUACAAACGGAAAGGGGGUGAUUCUAAGCGAAAAAGGAAGUCGAAAAUAUAGAAUAAAAAUUUUUCGUUCGAGGCUUUGUUUUCGAGAAAAUCGACUUUGAAGUUUCGCUCGGUACGCGUGCACUUUAUCACGUCUCGUUAUAACGGUCCUCACUGUAGAUUUAAAAAAAAAUUAAAAAAAAAAGAAAAUUAAAAAAAA